rnacentral:lncRNA from 1 species
CACAGCAUGGAUCAGAAAUCCUCAACUAAACUGCCAGCCUUCUCCCCGGCCGCCAUGAACGAGGAGGAAAACACCAUCCAGAAAGCCCCAAGUCCAGUUCCUGUGUCCUCUCCAGAGAUGCUCAAAGUUGGGAAGACACCCCCUAAGGAACCACAAGACAGGCUCCAGAUGCCUGCUGGGCCCAAACCUGUCCCGCCCAGCCCUCCGCCCUGGGAGGGUUCACUGGACAUGUUCUCCAUCAAGCACUUCCGGACCAAGGCGCAGCUGAUCUCCGGGCACAGCUGUCAGCUUGUCCAGGGUCUGCCAGAGGUCAUUCGCUCAGCAGGCCGCCUCCCUCCAAACCACAUCUGGGAUCUUCUAGACAGUAUGGGCCCAUC